rfam:TPA: Bos taurus chromosome 9, whole genome shotgun sequence.
UCCCUGAUACCUUAGUUGGUAAAGAAUCUGCCUGCAAUGCAGAAGAUCCCGGUUUGAUUCCUGGGUUGGGAA